rnacentral:rRNA from 1 species
UACCAGCACCCCGAGUGGUCGGGACGAUUAUUGGGCCUAAAGCAUCCGUAGCCGGUUCUACAAGUCUCCGUUAAAUCCAGCUGCUUAACAGAUGGGCUGCGGAGGAUACUAUAAGACUAGGAGGCAGGAGAGGCAAGCGGUACUCAGUGGGUAGGGGUAAAAUCCGUUGAUCCAUUGAAGACCACCAGUGGCGAAGGCGGCUUGCCAGAAUGCGCUCGACGGUGAGGGAUGAAAGCUGGGGGAGCAAACCGG